rnacentral:rRNA from 1 species
UACGAGGGGGGCGAGCGUUGUUCGGAAUUAUUGGGCGUAAAGGGUGCGUAGGCGGUUCGGUAAGUUUCGUGUGAAAUCUUCGGGCUCAACUCGAAGUCUGCACGAGAUACUGCCGGGCUUGAGUGUGGGAGAGGUGAGUGGAAUUUCCGGUGUAGCGGUGAAAUGCGCAGAUAUCGGGAAGAACACCCGUGGCGAAGGCGGUUCUCUGGGACGGUACUGACGCUGAGACGCGAAAGCGUGGGGAGCGAACAGG